AUGCAGCCAGGGCUGAGCACCUCUGAUGGAACAUCUCCGUCCUUUUAGAGAUGAGGAAAUUGAAGCUUAGAGAACUACCUGCGUCUCGACCAAGACAUUCUGUUUCUUACAAUUCUACUUUAAAUGAAUAUUUGAAUGCUCACAGAUUAUCCUUUUAAAUCUCAGCAUCUCCAUUCUUGAAUUCAUUGUGUCUCUCUCAGAUGGCUGGACGUCGUGGAAUGUCUUCUUUCAGGAAGGAGACGUGGGCUUCUACUUUCUAAGUCCCGGCAUAAAAAUGCUUUUCCCCUGCAUUCUCGCUUGGAUGGCCACUUUAUUAAAGCAGACUUUCUCGAUUCUACUGUGCAUGCGAAUCACCUGGGGAGCUUGUUAACUGAAGAGUCAGAUGGAGAAGUUUUGGAUGGAGGCUGCAGUGCUAUAUUCCCAUUUCUAACAUGCUCUCAGGUGAUGCUGCCCUGCUGGUGGCUCGUGAACGACACCUUGAGUAGCAAGAGUGAAGUGGAGUCUGCCCACAGACUUUUCCGCUCCCUUUGUCAAGGGCCUUCAGGGAAUUUUUCUUGUUAUCCCUUUAUGAGAACCCCACCCUUAGCCACAGGGAUUGCUCUGUGGUUAUUGGAGGAGUGAAGGUUUAUUUCCCCCGAGAUCGUUAUACUGAGAAGCUUGUUAGUCAGAGUAGCCAGGAGACAUCGUGACUGCUAUCGGGUGAGACUGUUUAUCAAAGCCAAGUAGAAUCAAGUUGAGAGACGGAUGGAGAGUUCUGAUGUCUGAUGUCAUCACUUGAGCCUCUGGAAUUAAUUGUAGCUAAAGAUUUAUCCACAGAAUUUCCCAGAUGUCUGGGAACUCAGCUGGGAAGUCUCAAUGACCUGGGGCUGAAAUCAUCUGGAGCUGCCUUCACUUCAUAACUGCCUUGCAGUUGAUGUUGGCUACAAACUAGCAUCUCACCUGGGACUACCUCAACCGGAAUACCUGCACAGGCAUUCUACAUAGAGCCUGGACUUCCUCACAACAUGGCAGCCGCAGGGUAGUUGGACUUCUUGGCUUGGCAUGGAGGAAGUAGUCAGUAAAUAUUUUUGGAUGAAUGAUGAAAAAGCCUUAAUUUGAGUCUAUCCCCAAACCCCUAUGAGCUCAGGAACAGCUGAGGUGAAGUCAUAUAGUCCCAGCUGAGAUGAAGACAUAACCGGAGGUGACAAACCUAGAGAAGAGAGAGACAGGUUGAUGUGUCUAUGAGAGGACAUGAGAGCUGCCUUUGGAUGUUGAAACACUUUCUACACGGCAGAGAUAUGCCAACCGAGGCCAAGAGAAGUGAAGUGCUUUGCCCAAGGUUGCACAGCUAUUAACGAUCUGCAGGGCAGACGGAUGGAAGGUAGAGAAGAGCAAGGUCAAGGUGGAAGCCAUGGACAUGAAUAGGAGCCUGCAAGGAUCAACCCAAACCCAUGUCAGUUCUCACUGCCUCCAACUUGAAUGAAGUGGGUGUCCUGCAAGAGAGGCCGGCACCCUUCGUCACACAAGUGAACACACACCUCGCCCUGGAGAUGGUGAAGCUGAAGGAGGAUCAGGGGAAGGUGGAGCCAGUCGCAGGUCCAAUGGCUGCCCUGGACCAAUGAGAGGAAUAAAAGAAGAGGAAGACCCCGGCAACCUAAGCUUUGGAGGUCUUCGCAAGCUGGUUUAAUUUGCUCUCGCCCUCUUCCUUUGAUGUGGGAUGUCAGAGUCUGCUCACCAAAAGCUGCUGAAGAUUUCUUGCAAGAGCCACUAGGACCUGGUUCCUUCCUUGGGGCCUCUCAUUGGCUCCUCUAAGCCUGGCUUCUGCCUCCCAUAAACCACAGGAAAUUCCAGCACAAGGUAAAGAGUUCUCCAAUGGACACAGGUCCUGGAUAUUUCUUAAUUUCGAGUUCUUCCACCUCUUAUGCAUUGUCAGCCCCGUCAGAGCUUUGCUUGGAUGACAAGCGCAGAUGUCACUUCUCGCUGCAUUUGUUGUUUCUGUGUCUGUGGUAGUGCUGAUUCCUGGCCACUCCGACCUCCUGCUCUUCAGGCCUUAAUCUGAGCUAUUGCGAAGCCUCAGCAAAAGCUGACUGUGAAGCUUGGUCCUGAUGCUGACAGGGGCAAUCUCAUGGCAGAAAGAGGGCAGAGUGAGCAGACCUGGGUUUGGAUCCCAGCUCCAACUCUCUCUACCUUCCUAGUGUAUUAAUCAUGUUUUUUGUAUUCUGUUUUUUAUGACGUUUUGACAUCUAAAAAAAUCUGUCUGGGAAGACAACUGCUCCUGCUUCUGCUUUCUGACCAAAACCCAGUGUUCCUCCUGUGGCCCUGCGUGAUGAGCCAGGCCUCUUGUUUCUAGCAGGAUUGUGUGUAACAUUAAACUUUUCUUUCAACAGCACUGACCUCUCAGUGUCAUCACUCAGUCACCUUUAUAAAUUAAGACCCAGACACAAAGCAUGUGGCUGUGGUUAGGUUUUGCCCACGUGCUAACAGCUUUCAUCUUCAUCUCAUGCCCGCCACUCCCAUUGCUGCAGCCCGAGCUUACAUUGUCUUUAGAACUCUUGAUCUCUGAAGAAAAGCAAUGUUCUUUUUAUCCUGGCAUUCAUGUAAAUCCCCCCAGAGGGCUCUGAUUGGUCUUACUUGGGUAUUGUGUCCAAAAUGAAGCCAAUUAAUGUGUCCAGCUGUUGUGGAAAUGAGGCCACUGAUGGCCCAUCUUGGUGACAUGCUCAACCCUAUGGUAGAAGAGGCAAAGCCGCUUGAUGGACAGUGCCACCAGAAUCACUUUGAGAGAUGGAGUCAGUUACCAAAAGGAACGGAUACAGAACACAUAAAAAGGAAUGCAUUUCUUAUAUGCUGACGUGUCAUGCAUUCGGAAAGUAGGCCAUUUGAAAACUUAGGAUUGGAUUAAUUCAACUCUAGAAGUGCCAAGACCUAAGAAACCCAGCAUGUGACCAAAAAAUUAGAGUGAGACCCUUUUGCCUGGUUAAAGCAUAAUGAGAAAUUGGGGAGGGGAGAAUUUCGCAUUCUAAUUUUGGGAGACUUUUA
rnacentral:lncRNA from 1 species